rnacentral:lncRNA from 1 species
GAAGUACUUAGUGGUUGUGGAAGACUAUGAUCCAGGCAAGAGAAUCGAGGACUACGAUUUCAACGACAUCCCGAUCUGGGUGAGGAUAUUUAGCCUCCCUCUUGGCAUGAUGAAUGAGGAUUCAGCGGAGGAGAUAGGAAAUAUCAUUGGCCAAUUUGUGGAAGUAGACGCAGGAGCGGAUGGGAGGGCUAUUGGGAAGUUUCUGAGGGUUAAGGUUCGAAUGAACAUUGAGAAACCAGUGAUGAGAGGCUUCACAAUUGAUGAUGAAGAGGGUGGGGGUGCAAAUAAGCGAAAAAAGUAAAUGAGUAUAGAUGGGAGAGAGGAGGAGGAAGAGGAGGGAUUGUGGUGUCGUUUUGAGUAUGAAUUCCUACCGGACCUUUGCUACACCUGUGGAAUAAUAGGGCAUGUUGCAAAGGACUGUUCUAUCAAAGUGAAAAAAGGAGACAGAGCUGAGUUUGGCCCUUGGUUGAGAGCAGACAUUGGAAGAAGGAGGUUUGUAGGGGAGGACGAACGAAGUUGGAAGACGAGGGGGGAGGAGCCGGAGGGGGAAGCGGUAGCAGGAACUAUGGAUAGAGCCGCUCGGGGGGACGGGUUGGGAGUGGUAGUGGAAGCGACAGUCUGUCCUGGCGUAAGAGUGCUGGUCAGGAAUCGGGAGGCAAGGGUAGCAGGGGGAGGAGAAGAAGAGGUGACGAGCCCAGCUAAACUGAAGCAUACCAAAACGCCAUGAUAAGGAAACCCUAAGAAACUGGAUAUGGAUGGGGGUAUGGUGCAGAAUCAACAAGAGAAGAUUGAAUCCAACCAUGGGAAAGAAUUGGUGGUGCAGGAGCAGCGUAGGGCGAUGGAGGUGGUGCUUGUCGCCCCUGCGGGGGGCGGGGCUACGAAGGCAGAGAAGGGGGAUGAGGUGCAUGCAACAGGGACGGAGGCUAUUUCAGAAAAGGGAGUAGAAGCCGAUCUCGCAAAAAAUCAGAACCGCGGGACGUUUAAACAGAGGAAUGGUGGGGAGGAGAAGAGAAGGGUCUCUGCAGUGUGCAACAAGAAAAUUGCGGGUCAUAAGAGGAACCAGAUGGAGAUCAGUGAAGGCUUGGAGGGUGAAGCAAAGAAGGGAAAGAUUAUGGAGGUUGAGGGAGUUAGUACGGUGAUGACACAUGAAGAGGACGGGAACAAUACCACUGAACAGAUAUCGGCCGGGCUGCCCGAGCAGUCCCGCCGGAUGCAAUGAAAAUCGUUAGUUGGAACUGCCGGGGGUUGGGGAAUGGCCCGGCGGUUCGGUCUCUUCUCGAGUUGGGAAGAAUGGAGGACCCUGAUAUUUUGUUUUUCUCGAAGACGAGGUUGUAUGAGAAGGAGUUAGAGCACUUAAGGUGGAAAUUGGGGUUAGUGAAGGAAAUAUGCCCUAGAGGCAAUAAUAAAGUUAUUAUUUAUUUCCUUAUAUUCAUGAUAAAUGUUUAUUAUUCAUGCUAGAAUUGUAUUAACCGGAAACAUAAUACAUGUGUGAAUACAUAGACAAACAUAGUGUCACUAGUAUGCCUCUACUUGACUAGCUCGUUAAUCAAAGAUGGUUAUGUUUCCUAACCAUGAACAAUGAGUUGUUAUUUGAUUAACGAGGUCACAUCAUUAGUUGAAUGAUCUGAUUGACAUGACCCAUUCCAUUAGCUUAGCACCCGAUCGUUUAGUAUGUUGCUAUUGCUUUCUUCAUGACUUAUACAUGUUCCUAUGACUAUGAGAUUAUGCAACUCCCGUUUACCGGAGGAACACUUUGGGUACUACCAAACGUCACAACGUAACUGGGUGAUUAUAAAGGAGUACUACAGGUGUCUCCAAUGGUCGAUGUUGGGUUGGCGUAUUUCGAGAUUAGGAUUUGUCACUCCGAUUGUCGGAGAGGUAUCUCUGGGCCCUCUCGGUAAUACACAUCACAUAAGCCUUGCAAGCAUUACAACUAAUAUGUUAGUUGUGAGAUGAUGUAUUACGGAACGAGUAAAAGAGACUUGCCGGUAACGAGAUUGAACUAGGUAUUGGAUACCGACGAUCGAAUCUCGGGCAAGUAACAUACCGAUGACAAAGGGAACAACGUAUGUUGUUAUGCGGUCUGACCGAUAAAGAUCUUCGUAGAAUAUGUAGGAGCCAAUAUGGGCAUCCAGGUCCCGCUAUUGGUUAUUGACCGGAGACGUGUCUCGGUCAUGUCUACAUUGUUCUCGAACCCGUAGGGUCCGCACGCUUAAGGUUACGAUGACAGUUAUAUUAUGAGUUUAUGCAUUUUGAUGUACCGAAGGUUGUUCGGAGUCCCGGAUGCGAUCACGGACAUGACGAGGAGUCUCGAAAUGGUCGAGACAUAAAGAUUGAUAUAUUGGAAGUCUAUGUUUGGACAUCGGAAGUGUUCCAGGUGAAAUCGGGAUUUUACCGGGUUACCGGGAGGUUACCGGAACCCCCCGGGAACCAUAUGGGCCUUCAUGGGCCUUAGUGGAAAGGAGAAAGGGGUAGCCCAAGGGGGCUGCGCGCCUCCCCCCUUCCCCUAGUCCUAUUAGGACUAGGAGAGGUGGCCGGCCACCCCUCUCCCUCUUUCCCCCUUGGGAAUCCUAGUUGGAAUAGGAUUGGGGGGGGGGGAGUCCUACUCCCGGUAGGAGUAGGACUCCUCCUGCGCCCUCCUCCUUGGCCGGCGCCCCUCUCCCCCCUUGGCUCCUUUAUAUACUGAGGUAGAGGCACCCAAAGACACACAAGUUGACACAAGUUGAUCCUCGUGAUCGAUUCCUUAGCCGUGUGCGGUGCCCCCUGCCACCAUAUUCCUCGAUAAUACUGUAGCGGAGUUUAGGCGAAGCCCUGCUGCUGUAGUUCAUCAAGAUCGUCACCACGCCGUCGUGCUGACGAAACUCUUCCCCGACACUUUGCUGGAUCGGAGUCCGGGGAUCGUCAUCGAGCUGAACGUGUGCUCGAACUCGGAGGUGCCGUAGUUUCGGUGCUUGAUUGGUUGGAUCGUGAAGACGUACGACUACUUCCUCUACGUCGUGUCAUCGCUUCCGCAGUCGGUCUGCGUUGGGUACGUAGACAACACUCUCCUCUCGUUGCUAUACAUCACAUGAUCCUGCGUGCGCGUAGGAAAAUUUUUGAAAUUACUACGAAACCCAACAGUGGCAUCCGAGCCUAGGUUAUUGAUGUUGAUGUUAUAUGCACGAGUAGAACACAAGUGAGUUGUGGACGAUACAAGUCAUACUGCCUACCAGCAUGUCAUACUUUGGUUCGGCGGUAUUGUUGGACGAGACGACCCAGACCAACCUUACGCGUACGCUUACGCGAGACCGGUUCCCUCGACGUGCUUUGCACAGAGAUGGCUUGCGGGCGACUGUCUCUCCAACUUUAGUUGAACCAAGUAUGGCUACGCCCGGUCCUUGCGAAGGUUGAAACGGAGUCUAUUUGACAAACUAUCGUUGUGGUUUUGAUGCGUAGGUGAGAUUGGUUCUUACUUAAGCCCGUAGCAGCCACGUAAAACAUGCAACAACAAAGUAGAGGACGUCUAACUUGUUUUUGCAGGGCAUGUUGUGAUGUGAUAUGGUCAAGGCAUGAUGCUGAAUUUUAUUGUAUGAGAUGAUCAUGUUUUGUAACCAAGUUAUCGGCAACUGGCAGGAGCCAUAUGGUUGUCGCUUUAUUGUAUGCAAUGCAAUCGCGAUGUAAUGAUUUACUUUAUUACUAAACGGUAGUGAUAGUCGUGGAAGCAUAAGAUUGGCGAGACGACAAUGAUGCUACGAUGGAGAUCAAGGUGUCGCGCCGGUGACGAUGGUGAUCAUGACGGUGCUUCGGAGAUGGAGAUCACAGGCACAAGAUGAUGAUGGCCAUAUCAUAUCACUUAUAUUGAUUGCAUGUGAUGUUUAUCUUUUUAUGCAUCUUAUCUUGCUUUGAUUGACGGUAGCAUUAUAAGAUGAUCUCUCACUAAAUUAUCAAGAAGUGUUCUCCCUGAGUAUGCACCGUUGCCAAAGUUCGUCGUGCCCAGACACCACGUGAUGAUCGGGUGUGAUAAGCUCUACGUCCAUCUACAAUGGGUGCAAGCCAGUUUUGCACACGCAGAAUACUCAGGUUAAACUUGACGAGCCUAGCAUAUGCAGAUAUGGCCUCGGAACACGGAGACUGAAAGGUCGAGCGUGAAUCAUAUAGUAGAUAUGAUCAACAUAAUGAUGUUCACCAUUGAAACUACUCCAUCUCACGUGAUGAUCGGACAUGGUUUAGUUGAUUUGGAUCAUGUGAUCACUUAGAGGAUUAGAGGGAUGUCUGUCUAAGUGGGAGUUCUUAAGUAAUAUGAUUAAUUGAACUUAAAAUUUAUCAUGAACUUAGUCCUGGUAGUAUUUUGCAAAUUAUAGAUCAAUAGCUCGCGUUGUUGCUUCCCUGUGUUUUGAUAUGUUCCUAGAGAAAAUUGUAUUGAAAGAUGUUAGUAGCAAUGAUGCGGAUUGGAUCCGUGAUCUGAGGAUUAUCCUCAUUGCUGCACAGAAGAAUUAUGUCCUUGAUGCACCGCUAGGUGACAGACCUAUUGCAGGAGCAGAUACAAACGUUAUGAACAUUUAGCUAGCUCAAUAUGAUGACUACUUGAUAGUUUAAGUGCACCAUGCUUAACGGCUUAGAAUCGGGACUUCAAAGACGUUUUGAACGUCAUGGACCAUAUGAGAUGUUCCAGGAGUUGAAGUUAAUAUUUCAAGCAAAUACCCGAGUUGUGAGAUAUGAAGUCUCCAACAAGUUCUAUAGCUAAAAGAUGGAGGAGAAUCGCUCAACUAGUGAGCAUGUGCUUAGAUUGUCUGGGUACUACAAUCGCUUGAAUCAAGUGGGAGUUAAUCUUCCAGAUAAGAUAGUGAUUGACAGAAUUCUCUAGUCACCAUCACCAAGUUAGUAGAACUUCGUGAUGAACUAUAAUAUGCAAAGGGAUAACGAAAACAACUCCCAAGCUCUUCGUGAUGCUGAAAUCAACGAAGGUAGAAAUCAAGAAAAGUAUCAAGUGUUGAUGGUUGACAAGAUCACUAGUUUCAAGAAAAGGGCAGAGGGAAGAAGGGGAAACUUCAAGAAAAACAGCAAGCAAGUUGCUGCUCAAGUGAAGAAGCCCAAGUCUGGUCCUAAGCCUGAGACUAAGUGCUUCUACUGCAAAGGGACUGGUCACCGGAAACGGAAUCACCCCAAGUGAUUGGCGGAUAAGAAGGAUGGCAAAAGUGAACAUAAGUAUAUUUGAUAUACAUGUUAUCGAUGUGUACUUUACUAGUGUUUAUAGCAAACCCUAAGUAUUUGAUACUAGUUCAAUUGCUAAGAUUAGUAACUCGAAACGGGAGUUGCAGAAUAAACAGAGACUAGUUAAGGGUGAAGUGACGAUGUGUGUUGGAAGUGGUUCCAAGAUUGAUAUGAUCAUCAUCGCACACUCCCUAUACUUUCGGGAUUAGUGUUGAACCUGAAUAAGUGUUAUUCGGUGUUUGCGUUGAGCAUGAAUAUGAUUUGAUCAUGUUUAUUGUAAUACGGUUAUUCAUUUAAGUAAGAGAAUAAAUUGUUGUUCUGUUUACAUGAAUGAAACCUUAUAUGGUUACACACCCAAUGAAAAUAGUUCGUUGGAUCUCGAUCGUAGUGAUACACAUAAUCAUAAUAUUGAAACCAAAAGAUGCAAAGUUAAUAAUGAUAAGUGCAACUUGUUUGUAGCACUGCCGUUUAGGUCAUAUUGGUGUAAAGCGCAUGAAGAAACUCCAUACUGAUGGGCUUUUGGAAUCACUUGAUUAUGAAUCAGUUGAUGCUUGCGAACCAUGCCUCAUGGGCAAGAUGACUAAGACUCUGUUCUUCGGAACAAUGAAGCGAGCAAUAGAUUUGUUGGAAAUCAUACAUACUGAUGUAUGUGGUCCGAUGAAUAUUGAGGCUCGCGAUAGGUAUCAUUAUUUUCUGAUCUUCACAAGAUGAUUUGAGCAGAUAUGAGUAUAUCUACUUGAUGAAACAUAAGUCUGAAACAUUUUGAAAAGUUCAAAGAAUUUUAGAGUGAAGUGAAAAAUCAUCGUAACAAGAAAAUAAAGUUUCUACGAUCUGAUCGUAGAGAAGAGUAUUUGAGUUACGAGUUUGGCCUUCAGUUAAAAACAAUGUGAAAUAGUUUCACUACUCAUGCCACCUAGAACACCACAAUGUAAUGGUGUGUCCGAACGUCAUAACCGUACUUUAUUAGAUAUGGUGCGAUCUAUACCGAUCUACCACUAUCGUUUUGGGGUUAUGCAUUAGAGACAGCUGCAUUCACGUUAAAUAGGGCACCAUCUAAAUCCGUUGAGACGACACCGUGUGAAUUAUGGUUUGGCAAGAAACCUAAGCUGUCAUUUCUUAAAUUUGGGGUUGCGAUGCUUAUAUGAAAAAAUUUCAUCCUGAUAAGCUCAAACUCAAAUCGGAGAAGUGCGUCUUCAUAGGAUACCAAAAGGAGACAAUUGGGUACACCUUCUAUCACAGAUCCGAAGGCAAGACAUUCGUUGCUAAGAAUGGAUCAUUUCUAGAGAAGGAGUUUCUCUCGAAAGAAGUGAGUGGGAGGAAAGUAGAACUUGACGAGGUAACUGUACCUGCUCCCUUACUGGAAGUAGUUCAUCACAGAAAACUGUUUCAGUGACACCUACACCAGUUAGUGAGGAAGCCAAUGAUAAUGAUCAUGAAACUUCAGAUCAAGAUACUACUGAACCUCGUAGAUCAACCAGAGUAAGAUCCACACCAGAGUGGUACGGUAAUCCUGUUCUGGAAGUCAUGCUACUAGAUCAUGAUGAACCUACGAACUAUGAAGAAGCGACGGUGAGCCCAGAUUCCGCAAAGUGGCUUGAAGCCAUAAAAUCUGAGAUAUGAUCCAUGUAUGACAACAAAGUAUGGACUUUGAUUGACUUGCUCGAUGAUCAGCAAAGCCAUGUUAAAUAAAUGGAUCUUCAAGAGGAAGACGGACAAUGAUAGUAGUGUUACUAUCUACCAAGCUCGACUUGUUGCAAAAGUUUUUCAACAAGUUCAAGGUGUUGAAUACGAUGAGGUUUUCUCACUCGUAUCGAUGCUUAAGUCUAUCUGAAUCAUGUUAGCAAUUGCCACAUUUUAUGAAAUCUGGCAAAUGGAUGUCAAAACUGCAUUCCUUAAUGGAUUUAUUAAAGAAGAGUUGUAUAUGAUGCAACCAGAAGGUUUUGUCAAUCCUAAAGGUGCUAACAAAAUGUGCAAGCUCCAGCGAUCCAUCUAUGGACUGGUGCAAGCAUCUCGGAGUUGGAAUAUACGCUUUGAUAAGUUGAUCAAAGCAUAUAGUUUUAUAUGGACUUACGAUGAAGCCUGUAUUUACAAUAAAGUGAGUGGGAGCACUACAGCCUUUCUGAUUAGUAUAUGUGAGUGACAUAUUGUUGAUCAGAAAUGAUGUAGAAUUUUUCUGCAAAGCAUAAAGGAGUGUUUUAAAGGAGUUCUUUAAAAGGAAAAGACCUCAGUAAAAAGCUACUUAUAUAUUGAGCAUCAAAGAUCUAUUGAGAUAGAUCAAGACGCUUGAUAAGAUUUUCAAUGAAGUACAUACCUUGGCAAGAUUUUGAAAUAGUUCAAAAUGGAACAGUUAAAGAAAGAGUUCUUGCCUGUGUUGCAAAGGUAUGAAAUUGAGUAAGACUCAAAUCCCGACCACAGCAGAAAAUAGAAAGAGAAUGAAAAGUCAUUCCCUAUGCCUCAGUCAUAGGUUCUAUAAAGUAUGCUAUGCUUUGUACCAGACCUAUUGUAUACCUUGCUCUGUAUUUUGCAAGGGAGUACAAUAGUGAUCUAGGAGUAGAUCACUGGACAUUGGUCAAGAAUAUCCUUAGUAAGGACUAAGGAGAUGUUUCUCGAUUAUGGAGGUGAUAAAAGAGUUUGUUGUAAAAGUUACAUCAGUGCAAACUUUUACACUGAUCCAGAUGACUCUAAGUCUCAAUCUGGAUACAUAUUGAAAGUGGGAGCGAUUAGCUAGAGUAGCUCCGUACAGAGCAUUGUAGACAUAGAAUAUUUGCAAAAUACAUACGGCUCUGAAUGUGACAGACCCGUUGACUAAGCUUCUCUCACGAGCAAAACAUGAUCACACCUUAGUACUCUUUGGAUGUUAAUCACAUAGCGAUGUGAACUAGAUUAUUGACUCUAGUAAACCCUUUGGGUGUUGGUCACAUGAUGAUGUGAACUAUAGGUGUUAAUCAUAUACAGAUAUGAAUAUUGGUGUUAAAUCACAUGACGAUGUGAACUAGAUUAUUGACUCUAGUGAAAGUGGGAGACUGAAAGGAAAUAUGCCCUAGAGGCAAUAAUAAAGUUAUUAUUUAUUUCCUUAUAUUCAUGAUAAAUGUUUAUUAUUCAUGCUAGAAUUGUAUUAACCGGAAACAUAAUACAUGUGUGAAUACAUAGACAAACAUAGUGUCACUAGUAUGCCUCUACUUGACUAGCUCGUUAAUCAAAGAUGGUUAUGUUUCCUAACCAUGAACAAUGAGUUGUUAUUUGAUUAACAAGGUCACAUCAUUAGUUGAAUGAUCUGAUUGACAUGACCCAUUCCAUUAGCUUAGCACCCGAUCGUUUAGUAUGUUGCUAUUGCUUUCUUCAUGACUUAUACAUGUUCCUAUGACUAUGAGAUUAUGCAACUCCCAUUUACCGGAGGAACACUUUGGGUACUACCAAACGUCACAACGUAACUGGGUGAUUAUAAAGGAGUACUACAGGUGUCUCCAAUGGUCGAUGUUGGGUUGGCGUAUUUCGAGAUUAGGAUUUGUCACUCCGAUUGUCGGAGAGGUAUCUCUGGGCCCUCUCGGUAAUACACAUCACAUAAGCCUUGCAAGCAUUACAACUAAUAUGUUAGUUGUGAGAUGAUGUAUUACGGAACGAGUAAAGAGACUUGCCGGUAACAAGAUUGAACUAGGUAUUGGAUACCGACGAUCGAAUCUCGGGCAAGUAACAUACCGAUGACAAAGGGAACAACAUAUGUUGUUAUGCGGUCUGACCGAUAAAGAUCUUCGUAGAAUAUGUAGGAGCCAAUAUGGGCAUCCAGGUCCCGCUAUUGGUUAUUGACCGGAGACGUGUCUCGGUCAUGUCUACAUUGUUCUCGAACCCGUAGGGUCCGCACGCUUAAGGUUACGAUGACAGUUAUAUUAUGAGUUUAUGCAUUUUGAUGUACCGAAGGUUGUUCGGAGUCCCGGAUGCGAUCACGGACAUGACGAGGAGUCUCGAAAUGGUCGAGACAUAAAGAUUGAUAUAUUGGAAGUCUAUGUUUGGACAUCGGAAGUGUUCCAGGUGAAAUCGGGAUUUUACCGGGUUACCGGGAGGUUACCGGAACCCCCCGGGAACCAUAUGGGCCUUCAUGGGCCUUAGUGGAAAGGAGAAAGGGGUAGCCCAAGGGGGCUGCGCGCCUCCCCCCUUCCCCUAGUCCUAUUAGGACUAGGAGAGGUGGCCGGCCACCCCUCUCCCUCUUUCCCCCUUGGGAAUCCUAGUUGGAAUAGGAUUGGGGGGGGAGUCCUACUCCCGGUAGGAGUAGGACUCCUCCUGCGCCCUCCUCCUUAGCCGGCACCCCUCUCCCCCCUUGGCUCCUUUAUAUACUGAGGUAGAGGCACCCAAAGACACACAAGUUGACACAAGUUGAUCCUCGUGAUCGAUUCCUUAGCCGUGUGCGGUGCCCCCUGCCACCAUAUUCCUCGAUAAUACUGUAGCGGAGUUUAGGCGAAGCCCUGCUGCUGUAGUUCAUCAAGAUCGUCACCACGCCGUCGUGCUGACGAAACUCUUCCCCGACACUUUGCUGGAUCGGAGUCCGGGGAUCGUCAUCGAGCUGAACGUGUGCUCGAACUCGGAGGUGCCGUAGUUUCGGUGCUUGAUCGGUUGGAUCGUGAAGACGUACAACUACUUCCUCUACGUCGUGUCAUCGCUUCCGCAGUCGGUCUGCGUUGGGUACGUAGACAACACUCUCCUCUCGUUGCUAUACAUCACAUGAUCCUGUGUGCGCGUAGGAAAUUUUUUGAAAUUACUACGAAACCCAACAGUUAGUCAAUAUGUCAGUUUGGAACCCGGAGGGAAGGAGUAGAGGGAUAGCCCUGUUCUGGAGAAGGGGGGUGGAGAUUUCUUUUAGAUCAUAUGGGAGGAGGUAUGUAGAUGUGGAUGUGAAGGAAGGGGAUGAUCCGGUUUGGAGCCUCACUGGUAUGUACGGAGAGUCGGCCAAUGGUAGGAAAAAAGAGACGUGGAGAACACUCAAAAUCCUCAAACAACAGCACCAGCAGGGACGACCGUGGUUGCGUGUGGGUGACUUCAAUGAAAUUCUGUUGGAGGUAGAGAAGGUAGGAGGAGCUCCAAGAGCGCAGCACAUGAUGGACGGGUUCCGUGAUGCAUUGGCAAUGUGUGAGAUGGCUGAUCUUGGUUUUGAGGGAGAUGUAUUCACAUGGAGGAACCACAGCAAAGAUGUUAACACAUACAUAUGCGAGAGUCUUGACAGGGCCGUCGGUAAUGAAGAGUGGAGGACACAAUUCCCGAACUAUGCAGUGAUUAAUGGUAUCCCCCGGCACUCGGAUCACAGACCCGUCAUUGUGCAGACACAAGGGGAGAGUAAGAGAUGGAUGAAUGGAGAUCGUGGCUUUAGAUUUGAAGCACGAUGGCUAUAAGAGGAGGGAUGUGAGGAUGUCAUUCGGGAGGCGUGGGAGGGGAGCUGGGCAGAAAGAGGGGAGGGCGUGGCGAAUGCUCUAAAAUCGGUGGCGGAGACGAUGCGGGUGUGGGACAAGAAUGUGGUCGGGGAGCUAGAGGGAAGGCUAAAAAAGCGAAAGCCGAACUUGAGAGGUGCAUGCUGAUACGUCUCCAAUGUAUCUAUAAUUUUUUAUUGUUCCAUGCUAUUAUAUUACCCGUUUUGGAUGUUUAUGGGCUUUAUUAUACACUUUUAUAUUAUUUUGGGACUAACCUAUUAACCGGAGGCCCAACCCAAAUUGUUGUUUUCUUGCCUAUUUCAGUGUUUCGAAGAAAAGGAAUAUCAAACGGAGUCCAAACGGAAUGAAACCUUCGGGAGAGUUAUUUUUGGAACGGAAGUAAUCCAGGAGACUUGGAGUAGACGUUAGGGAAGCUUCGAGGAAGCCACGAGCGUCCAGGGCUCGCCCUACCCCCUGGGUGCGCCCCCCCAUCCUUGUGGGCCCCUUGUGGCUCCCCUGACCGACUUCUUUUACCUAUAUAUAUCCAUAUACCCCGAAAACAUCCCGGAGCACAAUAGAUAGGGAGUUCCGCCACCGCAAGCCUCUGUAGCCACCAAAAACCAAUCGGGACCCUGUUCCGGCACCCUGCCGGAGGGGUGAUCCCUCACCGGUGGCCAUCUUCAUCAUCCCGACGCUCUCCAUGACGAGGAGGGAGUAGUUCACCCUCGGGGCUGAGGGUAUAUACCAGUAGCUAUGUGUUUGAUCUCUCUCUCGUGUUCUUGAGGUGAUACGAUCUUGAUGUAUCAUGAGCUUUGUUAUUAUAGUUGGAUCUUAUGAUGUUUCUCCCCCUCUACUCUCUUGUUAUGAAUUGAGUCUUCCCCUUGAAGUUGUCUUGUCGGAUUGAGUCUUUAAGGAUUUGAGAACACUUGAUGUAUGUCUUGUCGUGCUUAUUUGUGGUGACAAUGGGAUAUUCACGUAAUCUACUUGAUAUAUGUUUUGGUGAUCAACUUGUGGGUUCAAUGAACUUAUGCAUUGGGGUUGGCACACGUUUUUGUCUUGACUCUCUCGUAGAAACUUUGGGGCACUCUUUGAAGUACUUUGUGUUGGUUGAAUAGAUGAAUCUGAGAUUGUGUGAUGCAUAUCGUAUAAUCAUGCCCACGAAUACUUGAGGUGACAUUGGAGUAUCUAGGUGACAUUAGGGUUUUGGUUGAUUUGUGUCUUAAGGUGUUAUUCUAGUACGAACUCUAUGAUAGAUCGAACGGAAAGAAUAGCUUCGUGUUAUUUUACUACGGACUCUUGAAUAGAUCGAUCAGAAAGGAUAACUUUGAGGUGGUUUUGUACCCUACAAUAAUCUCUUUGUUUGUUCUUCGCUAUUAGUGACUUUGGAGUGACUCUUUGUUGCAUGUUGAGGGAUAGUUAUAUGAUCCAGUUAUGUUAUUAUUGUUGAGAGAACUUGCACUAGUGAAAGUAUGAACCUUAGGCCUUGUUUCCUAGCAUUUGCAAUACCGUUUACGCUCACUUUUACCACUUGCUGCCUUGCUGUUUUUAUAUUUUCAGAUUACAAAAACCUAUAUCUACCAUCCAUAUUGCACGUGUAUCACCAUCUCUUUGCCGAACUAGUGCACCUAUACAAUUUACCAUUGUAUUGGGUGUGUUGGGGACACAAGAGACUCUUUGUUAUUUGGUUGCAGGGUUGUUUGAGAGAGACCAUCUUCAUCCUAUGCCUCCCACGGAUUUAUAAACCUUAGGUCAUCCACUUGAGGAAAAUUUGCUACUAUCCUACAAACCUCUGCACUUGGAGGUCCAACAACGUCUACAAGAAGAAGGUUGUGUAAUAGGCAUCAAGCUCUUUUCUGGCACCGUUGCCGGGGAGGUGAGUGCUUGAAGGUAUAUCUUUAGAUCUUGCAAUCGAAUCUUUUAGUUUUUUGUUUUAUCAUUAGUUUAGUUUAUAAAAUAAAACUACAAAAAAAGAAAUUGAGUUUUCCUCUUGCGCUUCAUCUUUUUAAUAUCUUUCGUGAGAAUGAUGGAAAGGAAAUUUGUGCUCAAGUGCUAGAAGAAGAAGUCUAUAAAAUGUUUGGCACUAAAUCUUUAAAUGAUGAGCAUGAUUGCAAUGUUGUUAGUAUGAAUUCUUUGAAUACCCAUGAUGCUAAUGAUAUGCAAAGCCACAAGCUUAGGGAUGCUAUGUUUGAUGAAGAUGAUAUGUUUAGUCCCCCAAGUUUUGAUGAGAAUAUUUAUUAUGAUGAAGCAUGCCUCCUAUUUAUGAUGAUUAUAUUGAUAAAAGUGGGUUUGGAAGAGUGUCAACUUUAGGAAGUAAUGAUCCCACUAUUUUGGAGGAUGUUGAAUAUUAUUGUGAUAAUUAUGAAAGUGGAUUUGGAGAGGUCAUGACUUUAUUUAAUGAUGAAGCCACUAUUUCGGAAGAGGUUCCAAUUGAUUAUGAGAACAAAGUUGCUAUAUAUGAUGAUUAUUGUGAUGACUUGUAUGCUAUUAAGAAUAAUGAUAACCAUGAAACUUGUCAUCAUGAUUUUAGUUUUCAAUUGGAUUAUGCCUCACAUGAUAAUUAUUUUGUUGAGUUUGCUCCCACUACUAUUCAUGAGAAAAAUUUGCUUAUGUGGAGAGUAGUAAAUUUUCUAUGCAAGUAGAUCAUGAAAAGAAUGCUUUAUGUGCUGGUUAUAUUGUUGAAUUUGUUCAUGAUUCUACUGAAAAUUAUUAUGAGGGAGGAACAUAUGCUUGUAGGAAUUGCAAUAAUAUCAAGUUCCCUCUCUAUGUGCUUAAAAUCUUGAAGUUAUGCUUGUUUUGCCUUUCUAUGCUAGUUGAUUAUUGUUCCCAUAAGUUGUUUGCUCACAAAAUUCCUAUGCAUAAGAAGUGGGUUAGACUUAAAUGUGCUAGUCAUAUUCUUCAUGAUGCUCUCUUUAUGUUUCAGUUCUUAUCUUUUGUGUGAGCAUCAUUGAAAUCAUCAUGCCUAGCUAGGGGCAUUAAACGUUAGCGCUUGUUGGGAGGCAACCCAAUUUUACUUUGUUAUUUUUUUGCUCCUGUUUAGCAAUAAAUAAUUCAUCUAGCCUCUGGUUAGAUGUGGUUUUAUGUUUUUAAUUAGUGUUUGUGCCAAAUAGAACCUUUGGAAAGACUUGGGUGAAGUCUUUAUGAUCUUGCUGUGAAAAACAGAAACUUUAGCGCUCACGAGAUUAGCUACCAGUUUUUACUGGAGAGCGAUUUUAGGUUGAUUCUUUUUGCAGAUGAUUAAUAGACAAAUUCCUCAGGUCCACCAAUUUAUUUCAGAAUUUUUGAAGUUAAAUAAGUAUUCGGAUGGUACAGAUUACUACAAACUGUUCUGUUUUUGACAGAUUCUGUUUUCUAUGUGUUGUUUGCUUAUUUUGAUGAAUCUAUGAGUAGUAUCGGAGGGUAUGAACCAUAGGGAAGUUGGAAUACAGUAGAUACUACACCAAUAUGAAUUUAGAAUGAGUCCACAACAGUACCUAAGUGGUGCUUUUAUUUUCUUAUACUAACAGAGCUUACGAGUUUUCUGUUGAGUUUUGUAUUGUGAAGUUUUCAAGUUUUGGGUAAAGAUUCGAUGGACUAUGGAAUAAGGAGUGACAAGAGCCUAAGCUUGGGGAUGCCCAAGGCACCCCAAGGUAAUAUUCAAGGACAACCAAGAGCCUAAGCUUGGGGAUGCCCCGGAAGGCAUCCCCUCUUUCGUCUUCGUCUAUCGGUAACUUUACUUGGAGCUAUAUUUUUAUUCACCACAUGAUAUGUCAUUUGCUUGGAGCGUCUUGUAUGAUAUGAGUCUUUGUUUUUUAGUUUACCACAAUCAUCCUUGCUGUACACACCUUUUGGGAGAGACACACAUGAUUCUGAGUUUAUUAGAAUACUCUAUGUGCUUCACUUAUAUCUUUUGAGCUAGACAGUUUUGCUCUAGUACUUCACUUAUAUAUUUUUAGAGCACAGCGGUGGCUUAAUUUUGUAGAAAUUAUUGAUCUCUCAUGCUUCACUUAUAUUAUUUUGAGAGUAUUUUAGAACAUCAUGGUAUUUUCUAUGGUUAUAAAAUUGGUCCUAGAAUGAUUGGGCAUCCAAGUUGGGUAUAAUAAAAACGAUCAUAGAAAGUGCAUUGAAUACUAUGAUCAAUUUGAUGCUUGAUAAUUGUUUUGAGAUAUAAAGGUGGUAAUGUUAGAGUCAUGCUAGUUGGGUAAUUAUGAAAUUGAGAAAUACUUGUGUUGAAGUUGGCAAGUCCCGUAGCAUGCACGUAUGGUAAAAGUUGUGUAACAAAUUUGUAGCAUGGGGUGCUCUUUUGAUUGCCUUCCUUACGAGUGGAGGUCGGGAUCGCGCGAUGGUUAACUCCUACCAACCCUUACCCUAGGAGCAUGCAUAGUAGUACUUUGCUUCGAGGGCUAGUAAACUUUUGCAAUAAGUAUAUGCGUUCUUUAAGACUAAUGUGAGUCCAUGGAUUAUACGCACUCUCACCCUUCCACCAUUCCUAGCCUCUAUUAUGCCGCGCAACUUUCGCCGGUAUCAUGCACCCACCAUUUACCUUCCUCAAAACAGCCAUCAUACCUACCUAUUAUGGCAUUUCCAUAGCCAUUCCAAGAUACAUUUCCAUGCAACUCUCCAUCGUUCCGUUUACUAUGACACGCUCAAUCAUUGUCAUAUUGCUCUUGCAUGAUCAUGUAGUUGACAUCGUAUUUGUGGCAAGGCCACCUCCAAAAAUUUUCAUACAUGUCGCUCUUGGUUCAUUGCAUAUCCCGGUACACCGUCGGAGGCAUUCACAUAGAGUCCUAUUUUGUUCUAAGUAUUGAGUUGUAAUUCUUGAGUUGUAAAUCAAUAAAAGUGUGAUGAUCUUCAUUAGUAGAGCAUUGUCCCAAGUGAGGAAAGGAUGAUGGAGACUAUGAUUCCCCCACAAGUCGGGAUGAGACUCCGGACUUUAUAAAAAUAAAAGAGGCCAAAGAAGCCCAAAUAAAAAAAGAGGCCAAAGAAGCCCACAUAAAAAAUGAGAGAAAAAGAGACAAGGGACAAUGUUACUAUCCUUUUCCACACUUGUGCUUCAAAGUAGCGCCAUGAACUUCAUGAUAGAGAGUCCCUAUGUUGUCACUUUCAUAUAAUAGUGGGAAUUUUUCCUUAUAGAACUUGGCUUGUAUAUUCCAAUGAUGGGCUUCCUCAAAAUGCCCUAGGUCUCGUGAUCAAGCGAGUUGGAUGCACACCCACUUAGUUUCUUUUGUUGAGCUUUCAUACAUUUAUAGCUCUAGUGCAUCCGUUGCAUGGCAAUCCCUACUCACUCACAUUGAUAUCUAUUAAUGGGCAUCUCCAUAGCCCGUUGAUACGCCUAGUUGAUGUGACACUAUCUUCUCCCUUUUUGUCUUCACAACCACCACUCUAUUCCACAUAUAGUGCUAUGUUCAUGGCUUGCGCUCAUGUAUUGCGUGAGAGUUGAAAAAGUUGAAGCGCGUUAAAAAGUAUGAACCAAUUGCUUGGCUGAAACCGGGGUUGUGCAUGAUGGGAGUAUUUUGUGUGAUGAAAAUGAAGCAUAGCCUAACUAUAUGAUUUUGUAGGGAUGAGCUUUCUUUGGCUAUGCUAUUUUGAUAAGACAUGACUACUUGUUAGUAUGCUUGAAGUAUUACAAUUUUUGUGUUUAUAUGAACUUUUAUCUUGAAUCAUUUGGAUCUGAACAUUCAUGCCACAAUAAAGAACAUUACAUUGAGAAUUAUGCUAGGUAGCAUUCCACAUCAAAAAUUCUGUUUUUAUCAUUUACCUACUCGAGGGCGAGAAGGAAUUAAGCUUGGGGAUGCUUAAUAAGUCUCCAACAUAUAUAUAAUUUUUGAUUGUUCCAUGCUAUAUAUUACCCGUUUUGGAUGUUUAUGGGCUUUAUUAUACACUUUUAUAUUAUUUUUUGAACUAACCUAUUAACCGGAGGUCCAGCCCAAAUUGCUGUUUUCUUACCUAUUUCAGUGUUUCAAAGAAAAUGAAUAUCAAACGGAGUCCAAAUGGAAUCAAACCUUCGGGAGAGUUAUUUUUGGAACGGAAGCAAUCCAGGAGACUUGGAGUAAACGUCAGGGAAGCUUCGAGGAAGCCACGAGGGUCCAGGGCGCGCCCUACCCCCCUGGGCGCACCCCCACCCUCGUGGGCCCCUCGUGCCUCCCCUGACCGACUUCUUUCACCUAUAUAUAUCCAUAUACCCUGAAAACAUCCCGGAGCACAAUAGAUCAGGAGUUCCGCCGCCGCAAGCCUCUAUAGCCACCGAAAACCAAUCGAGACCCUGUUCCGGCACCCUGUCGGAGGGGGGAUCCCUCACCGGUGGCCAUAUUCAUCAUCCUGGCGCUCUCCAUGACGAGGAGGGAGUAGUUCACCCUCGAGGCUGAGGGUAUGUACCAGUAGCUAUGUGUUUGAUCUCUCUCCCUGUCUCGUGUUCUUGAGGUGAUACGAUCUUGAUGUAUCGCGAGCUUUGUUAUUAUAGUUGGAUCUUAUGAUGUUUCUCCCCCUCUACUCUCUUGUGAUGAAUUGAGUUUUUCCCCUUGAAGUUGUCUUGUCGUAUUGAGUCUUUAAGGAUUUAAGAACACUUGAUGUAUGGCUUGUCGUGCUUAUCUAUGGUGACAAUGGGAUAUUCACGUAAUCUACUUGAUGUAUGUUUUGGUGAUCAACUUGUGGGUUCAAUGAACUUAUGCAUAGGGGAUGGCACACGUUUUUGUCUUGACUCUCGGUAGAAACUUUGGGGCACUCUUUGAAGUACUUUGUGUUGGUUGAAUAUAUGAAUCUGAGAUUGUGUGAUGCAUAUCGUAUAAUCAUGCCCACGGAUACUUGAGGUGACAUUGGAGUAUCUAGGUGACAUUAGGGUUUUGGUUGAUUUGUGUCUUAAGGUGUUAUUCUAGUACGAACUCUAUGAUAGAUCGAACGGAAAGAAUACCUUCGUGUUAUUUUACUACGGACUCUUGAAUAGAUCGAUCAGAAAGGAUAACUCUGAGGUGGUUUCAUACCCUACAAUAAUCUCUUCAUUUGUUCUCUACUAUUAGUGACUUUGGAGUGACUCUUUGUUGCAUGUUGAGGGAUAGUUAUAUGAUCCAGUUAUGUUAUUAUUGUUGAGAGAACUUGCACUAGUGAAAGUAUGAACCUUAGUCCUUGUUUCCUAGCAUUGCAAUACCGUUUACGCUCACUUUUACCACUUGCUACCUUGCUGUUUUUAUUUUUAGAUUACAAAAACCUAUAUCUACCAUCCAUAUUGCACUUGUAUCACCAUCUCUUUGCCGAACUAGUGCACCUAUACAAUUUACCAUUGUAUUGGGUGUGUUGGGGACACAAGAGACUCUUUGUUAUUUGGUUGCAGGGUUGUUUAAGAGAGACCAUCUUCAUCCUAUGCCUCCCACGGAUUGAUAAACCUUAGGUCAUCCACUUGAGGGAAAUUUGCUACUGUCCUACAAACCUUUGCACUUGGAGGCCCAACAACGUCUACAAGGAGAAGGUUGUGUAGUAGACAUCACAUGCUUUCCAGUGUAUCCCAAGAAAAAAUUAUAGAGGAGGCAAGAUUGAGGUGCUUGGUGGAGGAGUUGGAGGAGAAGAAGAACACCAUGUGGAAGCAACGGGCGCAUGUCUGGUGGUUGGUAGAUGGCGAUCAGAACACACGAUAUUUCCACCUUGUGGCGUCAGGAAGGAAGAAAGCCAAUUGUAUCAAAGAGUUGAGGAGGGAGGAUGGUUCGAUGGUGGAGGAAGGAGAUUUGACUAAUUAUGUCUUUUCUCUACAUCAGCAGGGGACCGGGCCCAUGAGCUGAUCGCAACGGUCAUCCCCCGCAUAACACCAACCAUGCGUGCCACCCUCGAUGCAGAGUACACCAAAGAAGAGGUCAAUGUAGCACUAGAUCACAUUGACGAUCUCAAAGCCCCGGGCCCGGAUGGCAUGCCCUCCAUGGUCUUCAAGCGACAUUGGCCUUUCAUGGGUGACCAUGUGGUUGAUGAGGUUCUUAGAGUACUGAAUGGUGGUGACAUGCCCGCGUGAUGGAAUGAUACACUAGUGGAUCUUAUACCUAAGGUGAUGGAUCCCUCCAGAAUCAAGGAUUUGCGACCGAUCAGCCUAUGCAACGUAACAUACAAGCUUAUCUCUAAUGUCAUUGCAAACCAGUUGAAGGUGGUGUUCCCGGACAUAAUUUCUGAAAACCAGAGUGCUUUCGUACCGGGCCGGCUCAUAACAGAUAACGUACUAAUAGCAUAUGAGAUCUCGCAUUUGCUAAGGAACAAGAGGACUGGGCAGGAAGGGGUGACAGCGGUGAAGGCCGACAUGAGUAAGGCGUAUGAUAGAGUGAAGUGGAACUUCCUCCAAGCAAUGUUGACUAAACUGGGCUUCAGUCAUCUGUGGAUUAACCUUGUCAUGAAAUGUGUACGAACGGCGCGUUACCAAAUCAAGGUCAACGGAAUCCUGACUGACCAGUUCUGCCCGUCCCGUGGCUUGCAACAAGGGGAUCCAUUGUCGCCCUACCUUUUCGUCAUUUGUGCGGAGGGUGUAUCUGCAUUGCUGCAUGAGGCCGAGGGAGCUGGAAGGAUUUCGGGCAUCAAGAUCUGCGAAGCUGCACCGAGCAUCUCACAUUUGUUCUUUUCCGAUGACUCAAUGAUCAUGCUCAAGGCAAACCAGGAGGAAGUGCUCGCUCUUAGAGAGAUUCUGGACUUGUACGAAAACUGUUCUGGACAAUGCAUCAACAUAGAGAAAUCAACCCUCAUGUUCUCACAGAACACCUUGGAACAAUCAAAGAACGAGGUCAAGGCAACCCUUGGCAUUGUUAGUGAGAACUGGAACGAAAGGUAUCUCAGAUUACCAGUGCAUGUGGGUAGAUCAUGAAGGAAGGUUUUCGGGUACAUCAAAAAGAGCCUUUGUGGGUGCAUGAAUGGUUGGCAAGAACGGCUUCUGGCCAAAACUAGCAAAGAAACUUUGGUCAAGGCCGUUGGUCAGGCAAUACCGACUUUCGCUAUGUCGUGCUUCGACUUGACCAAAGGUUUCUGCAAGGAACUGGACACUUUAAUGGGCAAAUUCUGGUGGAGUCAGCAGGAUAAGGAGAACACGAUGCAUUGGAUCAGUUGGGAGACUUUGACGUGACCUAAGGCAAUGGGAGGCUAGGAUUCCGAAAUAUGCAUGAUUUCAACAUCGCAAUGCUCUCAAGACAAGGGUGGUGCUUCUUGCAGGACCCGGAGAGCCUGUGUGCACGUAUCUUGAAGGCACGCUACUUUCCUCAUUGCUCUAUACUGGAAGCCGAGGCGAAGGAGGAUAUUUCCUACUCUUGGAGGAGUAUAUUGCAUGGCCUAGAGCUGGUUAAGCAAGGGUAUAUAUGGCACAUUGGGGAUGGUAGCCAAGUUAAGAUAUGGCCGGAUCCAUGGAUUCCUAGGGCAUGGUCGAGACAAGUUAUCACCCCCAAGGGUCAGAAUAUCCUAACAUAUGUGAGUGAACUCAUAUGCCCCGUUACUAGUACUUGGGAUGCACAGCUGGUGCAUGAUUCCUUCUGGCCAGAUGAUGCCCAAUGCAUUCUGCAAAUCCCCCUUCAAGAAGGAGUAAGUGAUUUCAUUGCAUGGCACUAUGACACCAAGGGACACCAUUCGGUUCGGAAUGCAUACAAGCUGCAGGCACAACUUGCAAAGAAGGGUAGCACGAAUAAAGCUGGGAGUAGUACCACGAUCGCUGGCAACUUCAACAGUUGUGAUGAUCAGUCCUGGAAACGUCUUUGGAAACUCCCUUGCCCACGGAAAAUCCAAAUGUUCGCUUGGAGGAUGAAGCACGAGUCACUGGCCUUAAGACCAAUCUAACCAGGAGGGGAAUGAAGCUUGACAACACAAAAUGUCUGUUCUGCGGAUGCGCUGAUGAGGAUGGGGCUCAUCUCUUCAUCAAAUGCAAACAUGUGAAGCUAGUGUGGAGGGCACCCGAGUUCAAAAAGGAGAGGAAUGAGCUCAAGAACAUCACGUCCGUGCAUGCAAUGAUGGACUAUCUGUGGGGGCUCAAUGAAAAAGUGCGGGUGCAGAUACUUACCAUGUGGUGGCACUGGUGGAAUAACCGCAACAAGCUCAGGGAAGGAGAGAUGGGUGUACCUUGCGAAGAACUAGCACGAUGUGUACUGUCAAAUUCGCUAGAAUAUAUGCAACUAUUCGGGAAAAGAGUGAAGAAGAAAGAUAAUCUGAAUGGCGGCCCCCGAGCAAUGGUAUGCUCAAGAUAAAAUUGGACGGUGCCUUCAAACCGAGCGACACCUUUGCCACCUUGGGAGUGGUGGCCCGGGAUGAGACUGGAGAUGUGAUCACUGCCCGUGAAGGCAAAACGGAGCAGGUGGCAAAUCCGUUUGGUGCUGAGGUAGUAGCACUGAGAGAAGCCAUCAACACGGUUGCGGACCUCGGGGCACUGUGUUUGGUGUUCGAGACCGACUCAAAACUUCUUCAGGAAGCCAUGAACCUGAGUAGGGUCGACUCAUCACCAUAUGCAUCACUUAUUGAAGACUCCAAGCUCCAACUAAAGUUGUGGUUCUCGAAACAGCAAGUGCAGUUGUAUCGUAGGGAGGCCAAUUCAGUCGCGCAUGAACUUGCCCAAGUUGGGCGUGAGUGUAUGUCUAAUAAUUGUAUCGUGUGGAACAAUGAUGUACCGCCCCGAGUGGCGAUCUGUGUCUCCGGUGAUUUGGCCGAGCACCGUUAAGUUAUAAAGCUUUGCUUUUCCUCAAAAAAGGAAUAAUGUUUCACGGCGGCGAUGUCCCUUAAUACGAAUAAUGUCUCACUCAUCCUGGUUAAGUCUUCACCUUGCUUAUUUUCUUUCUAAAAACGGUUUUUCCUAGCUGGGGCUACACGGCACCUCUUAUCUCAGCCUUUCAAGCAUGCCCGUGUUCAUAGAGAUAUGUGCACACAGCAGUUGGCACCAGACGCUUAAACCUUAAUCGUGUGCCACGAAAUCCACUAUUCACGACAUGACUUGACGUGCCCAGCUACCGCUGUCUUGGCCCGCUCACCGCUUUAUUCCCCCAAUCGAGGCCUUUACUCUCGUGCUUUCCAUCAGAUAGCUCUCUGGGUUCUUCCACCCUCCUCUUCCCUUCCGCCAUGAACGAGGACACAUCCGGCAUGGUUUUGGAUCUCGAAGAUCCUGCUAGUCGCUACAAUAGACCGGGGGAAAUCACUACCGCCGGGGCGGAGCAGAGAAUCCACUGCUGGAGGUUCUGAAAAGGAGGCGGGGGCAGGUCUUGGGCGCUCAUCGGCACUGUCAGCCGGGGCGGAGCAGAGCAACCCGGGCGCAGGAGGUGCUGAAAAGGAGGCAUCGGCCGGUCUUGGGAGCUCAUCGGCACUCUCGGUCGUGUGCAUCUCGGCCGGAAAUUCCAGGUUCGUUCCAAUCCCAAUCUACCAAAAUUCAUUUUUCCCAAUCUCUGUUUUGGAUUAGUGUUAUCUCCUCCUACAGCUUGUAUCAGAUCUGGUAUUCUGCUGUCCUAAAAAUCCCCUUGCGUUUUGAUUUUCCAGUAACGAAGCCCCCGUUCCCCUUCUGAGUCGGAAUCCGUUGAUCCGGAAAGACUUGCCUGGUGGUUAUGAGUAAAACAAAUUUUCUAGCUAUAUAUGCUAAUGAAUUGGUCAAAGUGUAUAGAUGUAUAUGUAGGUUUUGUACCUUUGUUGGGCUGUGCUCACUAUGUAUCAGAAUUAAUUGUAGGUUCCUAAACCAUUUAACUCAAUAGCCUUUCCAUUGCCAAUUUGCUGUGCAGCAUGUUGUAAAAUAUAAGUUGUAUAAUUUAAAUCCUUCAGUCUUCUACAUUUUCAUAAUCUGUUCCAUAUUGCAUACUAUACAUGUACCUAGUAUGAUUAAAAUGCUGCCAAGUAUAUCUUGUGACAUUCGUUUCUUAAUUUGGUAUAUGGACUUCGGUAGCAUGUACGUGGUACAUGUAUUAAAAUUGUCCAGACUCAAAAAAUCA